CCCCUCUCAGGAUCGCAACUGGAGAGUUUCCAGUAUUCUACCAGUCUCGAUUAUGGGUGGAGAAGUCAAGCAGAGGCAUAACCAUACCAUUCCUAGCUUGGCCAGUGGCUAGCAAGUGGAAGGCAAUCUGCUACAAGU